rnacentral:rRNA from 1 species
AUAAUAUAAGAUUUGACCUGCCCACUGAACUAUUAAAUGGCCGCGGUAUUUUGACCGUGCAAAGGUAGCAUAAUAAUUAGUUUUUUAAUUGGAAGCUGGAAUGAAUGGUUGGACGAGGAAAUUACUGUCUCUUAUUAAUUUGAGAUAAAAUUUUAUUUUUAAGUUAAAAAGCUUAAAUUUAGUUAAAAGACGAGAAGACCCUAUAGAGUUUGAUAAUUUUGUAAAGAUUUAAUUUUAAGAAUUUUAUUUUAGUUUUUUUAAAAUUUAUUUUGUUGGGGUGAUGAAAAGAUUUAAUAAACUCUUUUUUUAUUUUUACAUUUGUAAAUGAUUUAUUGAUCCAUUUUUUUUGAUUAUAAGAAUAAAUUACCUUAGGGAUAACAGCGUAAUCUUUUUAGAGAGUUCUUAUCGAAAUAAGGGAUUGCGACCUCGAUGUUGGAUUAAAAUUAAUUUUUGGUGUAGAAGCUAAAAUAUUGAGUCUGUUCGACUUUUAAAAUUUUACAUGAUCUGAGUUUAAACCGGUGUGAGCCAGGUUGGUUUCUAUCUUUAUUAAAUUAAAAUAUUUUAGUACGAAAGGACCAA